rfam:Triticum aestivum genome assembly, contig: Triticum_aestivum_CS42_TGACv1_scaffold_577656_7BL
GUAGUAUUCCCUCCGUCCCAAAAUUCUUGUCUUACAUUUGUUUAGAUAUGGAUGUAUCUAACACUAAAAUGUAACUAGAUACAUCCGUAUUUAGACAAAUUUAAGACAAGAAUUUUGGGACGAAGGGAGUACAAA